CCUUGACAUCCAGAGAACUUAGCAGAGAUGCUUUGGUGCCUUCGGGAACUCUGAGACAGGUGCUGCAUGGCUGUCGUCAGCUCGUGUUGUGAAAUGUUGGGUUAAGUCCCGCAACGAGCGCAACCCUUAUCCUUUGUUGCCAGCGGUUCGGCCGGGAACUCAAAGGAGACUGCCGGUGAUAAACCGGAGGAAGGUGGGGAUGACGUCAAGUCAUCAUGGCCCUUACGGCCAGGGCUACACACGUGCUACAAUGGCGCAUACAAAGAGAAGCGACCUCGCGAGAGCAAGCGGACCUCAUAAAGUGCGUCGUAGUCCGGAUUGGAGUCUGCAACUCGACUCCAUGAAGUCGGAAUCGCUAGUAAUCGUAGAUCAGAAUGCUACGGUCGAAUACGUUCCCGGGCCUUGUACACACCGCCCGUCACACCAUGGGAGUGGGUUGCAAAAGAAGUAGGUAGCUUAACCUUCGGGAGGGCGCUUACCACUUUGUGAUUCAUGACUGGGGUGAAGUCGUAACAAGGUAGGCGUAGACGU
rnacentral:rRNA from 1 species